AUCGCUUCUCGACCUUUUGGCUAAGAUCAAGUGUAGUAUCUGUUCUUAUCAGUUUAAAGGAGGGAAAGGGAUCCACAUGUCCAAAAAUGUUUGUGGCAGCCCUUUUUGUAGUGUCUAGAAACUGGAAACUAAGUGGAUGUCCAUCAGUUGGAGAAUAGCUGAACAAGUUAUGGUAUAUGAAUAUUAUAUAAUAUUA